AGCGUAGACGGCAAGGCAAGUCUGAAGUGAAAGCCCGGUGCUUAACGCCGGGACUGCUUUGGAAACUGUUUGGCUGGAGUGCCGGAGAGGUAAGCGGAAUUCCUAGUGUAGCGGUGAAAUGCGUAGAUAUUAGGAAGAACACCAGUGGCGAAGGCGGCUUACUGGACGGUAACUGACGUUGAGGCUCGAAAGCGUGGGGAGGCAAAACA
rnacentral:rRNA from 1 species